rnacentral:rRNA from 1 species
UAGCCGUAAACGAUACUCGCUAGGUGUCGGCCACGGUGCGACCGUUGUCGGUGCCGUAGGGAAGCCGUGAAGCGAGCCACCUGGGAAGUACGGCCGCAAGGCUGAAACUUAAAGGAAUUGGCGGGGGAGCACCGCAACGGGAGGAGCGUGCGGUUCAAUUGGAUUCAACGCCGGACAACUCACCAGGAGCGACGGUUACAUGAAGGCCAGGCUGAUGACCUUGCCUGAUUUUCCGAGAGGAGGUGCAUGGCGUAGUCGUGU